CGACUCUCGGCAACGGAUAUCUCGGCUCUCGCAUCGAUGAAGAACGUAGCGAWAUGCGAUACUUGGUGUGAAUUGCAGAAUCCCGUGAACCAUCGAGUCUUUGAACGCAAGUUGCGCCCGAAACCACUCGGUUGAGGGCACGUCUGCCUGGGCGUCACGC
rnacentral:rRNA from 1 species